rnacentral:rRNA from 1 species
ACGGAGGAUGCAAGCGUUAUCCGGAUUUAUUGGGCGUAAAGCGUCCGCAGGUGGUUUACCAAGUCUGCUGUUAAAGCGCGAGGCUUAACCUUGUACAGGCAGUGGAAACUGGUAGACUAGAGUAUGGUAGGGGUAGCGGGAAUUCCCAGUGUAGCGGUGAAAUGCGUAGAUAUUGGGAAGAACACCAGCGGCGAAAGCGCGCUACUGGGCCAUAACUGACACUCAUGGACGAAAGCUAGGGGAGCGAAAGGGAUUAGAUACCCCUGUAGUCCUAGCUGUAAACGAUGGGUACUAGGUGUUGACCGUAUCGACCCGGUCAGUGCCGUAGCUAACGCGUUAAGUACCCCGCCUGGGGAGUAUGCACGCAAGUGUG